rnacentral:ncRNA from 2 species
CAUAAUUGCGGCGAUGGAGUUCGCCUUUAACUGCUUUAAGCUGAUGACUCCUACCUUUAA